GGUGGCUUGGUCUAGUGGUAUGAUUUGUGCUUCGGGUGCACGAGGUGCCGGGUUCGAUUCCCGGAGCCACCC
rfam:Nematocida parisii ERTm3 unplaced genomic scaffold supercont1.8, whole genome shotgun sequence.